rnacentral:rRNA from 1 species
GACGAACGCUGGCGGCGUGCUUAACACAUGCAAGUCGAACGAUGAAGCUAGAGCUUGCUCUGGUGAAUUAGUGGCGAAUGGGUGAGUAACACGUGAGUAACCUGCCCCGAACUCUGGGAUAACUGCUGGAAACGGUAGCUAAUACUGGAUACGACCUACGAAGGCAUCUUCUGUAGGUGGAAAGAAUUUCGGUUCGGGAUGGACUCGCGGCCUAUCAGCUUGUUGGUGAGGUAAUGGCUCACCAAGGCGACGACGGGUAGCCGGCCUGAGAGGGUGACCGGCCACACUGGGACUGAGACACGGCCCAGACUCCUACGGGAGGCAGCAGUGGGGAAUAUUGCACAAUGGGCGCAAGCCUGAUGCAGCAACGCCGCGUGAGGGAUGACGGCCUUCGGGUUGUAAACCUCUUUUAGUAGGGAAGAAGCGAAAGUGACGGUACCUGCAGAAAAAGCACCGGCUAACUACGUGCCAGCAGCCGCAGUAA